rnacentral:rRNA from 1 species
GAGUUUGAUCUUGGCUCAGAACGAACGCUGGCGGCGUGGAUAAGACAUGCAAGUCGAACGGGAGAAUUGCUAGCUUGCUAAUAAUUCUCUAGCGGCGCACGGGUGAGUAACACGUGAGUAACCUGCCCCCGAGAGCGGGAUAGCCCUGGGAAACUGGGAUUAAUACCGCAUAGUAUCGAAAGAUUAAAGCAGCAAUGCGCUUGGGGAUGGGCUCGCGGCCUAUUAGUUAGUUGGUGAGGUAACGGCUCACCAAGGCGAUGACGGGUAGCCGGUCUGAGAGGAUGUCCGGCCACACUGGAACUGAGACACGGUCCAGACACCUACGGGUGGCAGCAGUCGAGAAUCAUUCACAAUGGGGGAAACCCUGAUGGUGCGACGCCGCGUGGGGGAAUGAAGGUCUUCGGAUUGUAGACCCCUGUCAUGUGGGAGCAAAUUAAAAAGAUAGUACCACAAGAGGAAGAGACGGCUAACUCUGUGCCAGCCGCCGCCGUAAG